rnacentral:rRNA from 1 species
GAUGAACGCUGGCGGCGUGCCUAACACAUGCAAGUCCAGCGAUUCUCUUCGUAGAAGAGCGGCGGACGGGUGAGUAACGCGUGGGUAACCUGCCCUGUACACACGGAUAACAUACCGAAAGGUAUGCUAAUACGAGAUAAUAUGCUUUUAUCGCAUGGUAGAAGUAUCAAAGCUCCGGCGGGACAGGAUGGACCCGAGUCUGAUUAACUAGUUGGUAAGGUAACGGCUUACCAAGGCGACGAUCAGUAGCCGACCUGAGAGGGUGAUUGGCCACAUUGGAACUGGGAAACGGUCCAAACUCCUACGGGAGGCAGCAGUGGGGAAUAUUGCACAAUGGGCGAAAGCCUGAUGCAGCAACGCCGCGUGAGCGAUGAAGGCCUUCGGGUCGUAAAGCUCUGUCCUCAAGGAAGAUAAUGACGGUACUUGAGGAGGAAGCCCCGGCUAACUACGUGCCAGCAGCCGCAGUAA